rnacentral:rRNA from 1 species
UACGGGGGAUGCGAGCGUUAUCCGGAUUUAUUGGGUUUAAAGGGUGCGUAGGCGGACGCUUAAGUCAGCGGUAAAAUUGCGGGGCUCAACCUCGUCGAGCCGUUGAAACUGGGUGCCUUGAGUGGGCGAGAAGUACGCGGAAUGCGUGGUGUAGCGGUGAAAUGCAUAGAUAUCACGCAGAACUCCGAUUGCGAAGGCAGCGUACCGGCGCCCAACUGACGCUGAAGCACGAAGGCGUGGGUAUCGAACAGG